GAUGAACGCUGGCGGCGUGCCUAAUACAUGCAAGUCGAGCGAACAGACGAGGAGCUUGCUCCUCUGACGUUAGCGGCGGACGGGUGAUUAACACGUGGAUACCCUACCUAUAAGACUGGGAUAACUUCGGGAACCCGGAGCUAAUACCGGAUAAUAUAUUGAACCGCAUGGUUCAAUAGUGAAAGCCGUUUUUGCUGUCACUUAUAGAUGGAUCCGCGCCGCAUUAGCUAGUUGGUACGGUAACGGCUUACCAAGGCAACGAUGCGUAGCCGACCUGAGAGGGUGAUCGGCCACACUGGAACUGAGACACGGUCCAGACUCCUACGGGAGGCAGCAGUAGGGAAUCUUCCGCAAUGGGCGAAAGCUUGACGGAGCAACGCCGCGUGAGUGAUGAAGGUCUUCGGAUCGUAAAACUCUGUUAUUAGGGAAGAACAAAUGUGUAAGUAACUAUGCACGUCUUGACGGUACCUAAUCAGAAAGCCACGGCUAACUACGUG
rnacentral:rRNA from 1 species